CGGGAAAGGAAACAGGACAAAAGAGAGUCGACGCAGUCAAAGAGGGGAAGCAGAAAGAGAAGAAAGCCACCGUGCGAGACAGAGCUUUGAAAAAAGAAGGACCUGCUGCACCUUCAACUCUCACAAAAGAACGACCAGCUGAAAAGUCAUCACUGGAAUCGACAUCUGACUCUGACUCUUCAUUGACUUCCUCGGAAGAAGACGACAAGCCACACAAGACUAAGAAGGGAAAAGGGAAAAAGCAGAAGAAGCUAAAGAAGAAAAAUAAUUGAUUACUGCUCAAAACCCAAAGCAAAUGGUAGCCCGCUAAAGCAAAAUCCUGAGAU
rnacentral:lncRNA from 1 species